rnacentral:tRNA from 1 species
GAUGGUAUAGCUCAGUGGUAGAACACACGCUUAGCAUGCACGAGGUCCUGGGUUCAAUCCCCAGUCCCUCCA